rnacentral:rRNA from 1 species
UGGGGAAUAUUGCACAAUGGGGGAAACCCUGAUGCAGCGACGCCGCGUGAGCGAAGAAGGUUUUCGAAUCGUAAAGCUCUGUCCUAUGAGAAGAUAAUGACGGUAUCAUAGGAGGAAGCCCCGGCUCAAUACGUGCCAGCAGCCGCGGUAAUACGUAUGGGGCGAGCGUUGUCCGGAAUUAUUGGGCGUAAAGGGUACGUAGGCGGUCUAUUAAGUCAGGUGUGAAAGCGUGAGGCUUAACCUCAUUAAGCACUUGAAACUGAUAGACUUGAGUGAAGGAGAGGAAAGUGGAAUUCCUAGUGUAGCGGUGAAAUGCGUAGAUAUUAGGAGGAAUACCGGUGGCGAAGGCGACUUUCUGGACUUUUACUGACGCUCAGGUACGAAAGCGUGGGGAGCAAACAGG